rnacentral:lncRNA from 1 species
UAAGAUUCCAACGUACGUCAAAAUGACAUGAAAAUAUGCGAGGAACGGCGAAAAAGGACAAAAAAUCUCACCGGGGUUCAGGUUGGGAUGCCGGCACAGCGGCGGCGCCAUGCUCUGCCACCUAAUCCUCAUUCUCUGACAGCUCUUCCUCCCAGUCAUAUCGAUUUUAGUCGAUUCUUGGUGAAAAUCAGUUUAAAUCAUGGUUAAGAGGUGUUUUUUAGCAAAAAAAGAGAAAAAAUAG